rnacentral:lncRNA from 8 species
CAAUGGGACAUGCUAGGGGUCAGUGGGGUCAGUGUGUUUAACCUGGUGGUGUGCUGCUGUAAUUCAUAGGUUUGACAGGCACUGUGGCAGUCCACCAGGUUUCCAGGGAAGGAGUGGAGUUGUUCCUUAUCACCACUCUUUGCAUGCUGAGAUCCAGGACAUUCAGCAGGUGACAAAGGCUUUAGUUCUGCAGUUGGUUAUCAAAAGCUCUAUCGUGUUACUAUAGGUUUAUUAUAAUGGUGUAUUUCCCUCAGCAGCGUGGGGUUCUGGAGGAGAUGACUGGUCCAGUAUGUGGGGUUCGGUCCUCUCACACUCAGAGGGACGAUAUCCAAAACAUAAUUCACAGGAUCAAGUCUGCUGAGCUGGCCCACCUUCUCCACGCACAUUACCCAGAGAGGGUGAGAACACACACACACACACACACACACACACACACACACACACACACACACACACACACACACACACACACACACACACACACACACACACACACACACACACACACACACCUGUGUCUGCUGAAUGAUAAAAGUGUAGGAAGCUGUUUUGAGGGUCUGAUGUCUGUUCAAUCACUCAGGACUCUGUUGGUGGUUGUGCUGUUGAGACCCUGGAGAGGCCAUAUCCCCACAGCCAGCAGCCACAGCCUAGCAUCAAGCAGCAGCUGGUUAAUGUACUGAAGGAACUGGAGCUGCAGACGACUCUGUGGGAGGAGAGAGAGGAGAAUGUGGCGGAACAGCGGAGGCUACGGGAGCAGCAGGAGCAGAAGCAGAAGCCCCAGGCCAAGAGGGAAGCUGUGGUGAACUGGUGGAGAACCCUUAAGGUGGAUGGGAGUAGGACCAACGUCAAGCCGGAAGACACCCUGACCCAGCCCAGCAAGGCCCUCACUGACGCAGAGUCCAAGCUCCAACAGGCAAAGCACACCAUCACAAAGAUUAGGGAGCAGGUGCGCCACCUUGAGUUGGCCCUGAAAACUGCCCAGGAGGGCGUAGCUGAGCACAAAAACAUUCAGGACAGGGUGGGUGUUCUUCACAAAGACAAGGAGACCAACACGGUGAGAGAGGGACCUGGCCGGACUGGGGAGGAGGCAUCAAAGGAGUGUAAGGACGUGGCUGUGGCUACAGACCAUGUGGAGGACCCAGGUAGAUCAGAGAAGGUAGCAGCCCAGCUUGUGACCUCAGAGGGUCUACUGGUGACCCUCAGGAGGAUGGAGGCCAUGGUCAGCAGUGCCCUGGAGGCAGCUGAGCUGGUCAGGGAGAGUCAGCGAAGGGUCAGCCAGGUCAAGGAGAGGAUGGAGAGCAUCACUCAGAAGAUGGAGGAAGCUCUGACCAGAGCAGUGGACACAGAGGGUCAGCUCAGUGCCCUGGAGGCCAGGGUCACAGCCAAACCUCAGUUGCUAGGUUCGAUAGGGCAGACAGCCCAGCCUGAUGUUGAAGCUAUAGGCAGAGACACACCCAGGAACCCCUCUCCACCAGAGCCUAUGACCGAAAGCUACAGCAAGUCUAGAUGGCCCCUUAUAAGCGGUAUGAUGAGACUACUACUACUGAAAUACAGGGCAAACACAGCAUUUGUAUGUCACUGAAUGUAGCAGUAUUAAUUAGCCUAUUAUAUUGUAAGAGGAGAAACACAGAAAGAAACAAAUUAGUUAGCCACUUUCUUUUUUAUUAGUAAUCCCUGGGGACACUACUUAAAUAGACCCAGCAGACUAUAACGUACACAAAGCAGUUGGCGCAGAGUGUCAAGGCC